rnacentral:rRNA from 1 species
AGGGGCGAGCGUUAAUCGGAAUUACUGGGCGUAAACCGUGCGUAGCGGGGAUAUUCUAGUCGAGUGUGAAAUCCCUGGGCUUAACCUAGGAACUGCGCUCGAUACUGUAUGUCUAGAGUAUGGUAGAGGAAGGUGGAAUUUCCGGUGUAGCGGUGAAAUGCGUAGAGAUCGGAAAGAACAUCAGUGGCGAAGGCGGCCUUCUGGACCAAUACUGACGCUAAGGUACGAAAGCGUGGGGAGCAAACAGGAUUAGAGACCCUGGUAGUCCACGCUGUAAACGAUGAGAACUAGAUGUUGGCCUGGCUACUUGUAGCUGGGUUAGUAUCGAAGCUAACGCGUUAAGUUCUCCGCCUGGGGAGUACGACCGCAAGGCUGAAACUCAAAGGAAUUGACGGGGGCCCGCACAAGCGGUGGAACAUGUGGUUUAAUUCGAUGCUACGCGAAAAACCUUACCUACCCUUGACAUCCUUGGAAUCUCGCAGAGAUGUGGGAGUGCCUUCGGGAGCCAAGUGACAGGUGCUGCAUGGCUGUCGUCAGCUCGUGUCGUGAGAUGUUGGGUUAAGUCCCGUAACGAGCGCAACCCUUGUCCUUAGUUGCCAUUUCUGCCUUGAGUAGAAGGAACUCUAAGGAGACUGCCGGUGAUAAAUCGGAGGAAGGUGGGGACGACGUCAAGUCAUCAUGGCCCUUACGGGUAGGGCUACACACAUGUUACAAUGGGCAGUACAGAGGGU